CGGCAAGAGCUCAACUUUGGAAUCGCUCCGGCGAGUUGUAGUUUGGUGGUGGCCACCACGAGGUGUUCUAGCAGCAGGCAAGUCCUUUGGAACAAGGCGCCAGCGAGGGUGACAGCCCCGUACCUGCUUUUGCUAGUGCUUCCUGUGGCCCACCGACGAGUCGAGUUGUUUGGGAAUGCAGCUCUAAGUGGGUGGUAAAUUCCAUCUAAGGCUAAAUAUUGGCGAGAGACCGAUAGCGAACAAGUACAGUGAUGGAAAGAUGAAAAGCACUUUGAAAAGAGAGUGAAACAGUACGUGAAAUUGUUGAAAGGGAAGGGCUUGCACCCAGACACGGUUUCGGCCGGGCCAGCAUCAAGUAGAACGGGGUUAAAAGACUUGGGGAAUGUAGCUACUUCGGUAGUGUUAUAGCCCUUGGUGAUGACCCCUGUUUUGCUUGAGGACAGCGGUCUCUAGGAUGCUGGCGCAAUGGUUGCAAGCCACCCGU
rnacentral:rRNA from 1 species